GACGAACGCUGGCGGCGUGCCUAAUACAUGCAAGUCGAGCGGAUCUUCAUUAGCUUGCUUUUGAAGAUCAGCGGCGGACGGGUGAGUGACACGUGGGCAACCUGCCUGUAAGACUGGGAUAACUUCGGGAAACCGGAGCUAAUACCGGAUAAUACUUUCCCUCACAUGAGGGAAAGCUGAAAGACGGUUUCGGCUGUCACUUACAGAUGGGCCCGCGGCGCAUUAGCUAGUUGGUGAGGUAAUGGCUAACCAAGGCGACGAUGCGUAGCCGACCUGGGUGGGUGAUCGGCCACACUGGGACUGAGACACGGCCCAGACUCCUACGGGAGGCAGCAGUAGGGAAUCUUCCGCAAUGGGCGAAAGUUUGACGGAGCAACGCCGCGUGAACGAUGAAGGCCUUCGGGUCGUAAAGUUCUGUUGUCAGGGAAGAACAAGUACCGGAGUAACUGCCGGUACCUUGACGGUACCUGACCAGAAAGCCACGGCUAACUACGUGCCAGCCGCCGCAGUAA
rnacentral:rRNA from 1 species